CUGUACUUUAUUAUGUCAAAUCGGCCAUCAUAGCGUGCCGUGAGUUUACAUUAUUUUGUUCCCUUCAUCAACAUUAAUGUGAGUACCAACCGGUUUAUAACGUCCAUCUCUUAUCAAUCAGGACGUCAAAUGAUCAGUUAUAACCAGUGUGUUGAUGCAAGUAAUUGUUUCCUAUGCUAAACAUAAGAAACGUGAUCUAGUGGUUGAGCGUUGUGCUUACGAUCCGGAGGUCCCGGGUUUGAGUCCCGGUGGGAACAAAUCACCUGAUUGCCCAAAAGUAAGAUGAUCCGUGCUUCGGAAGGCACGUUAAGGCAUUGGUCCCGGUUACUACUUACUGAUGUAAGUUAGUAGUCGUUACAUGAGUCAUGUCAGAGGCCUAUGGCGGCUCAGUAAUAACCCUGACACCAGGAUUUAUGGGGUUGGUAAUCCACCUCACAAUCCACACGAUAGAAGAAGAAAAUGCUAAACACGUGCGUGAAUCUGUCUGUAAAGUUAAGCUAGGCGAAAAUUUUACUCCCAAAGGUACGACUUGUAACAGAUUAUAAAUAGCGUUGGUCCAUUAGCGAACCCAACCCAACGGACAAGGCUACCAAGUUUGGAUACCUACCAACUAAUGAGCCAUCGAGGGUCAGGCCCUAUCCCUUACCUAGCUUCCAUCAAUUCCCGUCUAUGAAUAAGGUAACACAUUAACACCUAAAACAGUAAUUUGUUAGCUUAGUUUUAUUUCGUAACAAUAUUCUACCUCUAUUAUUCGGGUCAUUCGAUUUUUAAAUUAAGUCGCUGUCUCGGAAAGCUACUCGGUAUAGCCUAUUGAUAGGCCACAGUCGAUAGUGUAUCGAUUUUUUUUUUCAGAGUAAGGUACAAUACAUAUUAUACUUACUUAAUAAUAAUUUCGCCAAACUUUUUACAGUGAUUUCGAUUCUUCUCUUCGAUCGUGUGGGUUGUGAGUUGGAUUACCAACCUCAUCAACCCUGGUGUUAGGGUUACUAUGGAGCCACCAAAGGCGCCUGACAUGACUCAUGUAACGACUACGUACUUACAUCAGUAAGUCGUAACCGGGACCAACGGCUUAACGUGCCUUCCGAAGCACGGAUCGUCUUACUUUCGGACAAUCAGGUGAUCGGCCUGUAAUGUCCUAACCAAACUAGGGAUCACAAAGUGAUUUUUGUGAUAUGUUCCCAACGGGAUUCAAACCCAGGACCUCAGGAACCCAGGAUCGUGAGCCCAACGCUGAACCACUGGACCACGGAGGCCGUUCGAUAGUUCGAUAGUUGAGAAUCGAUUCGAUAAUUUAAAAAAAAAAAAACAAUAGUAUCGAUAACUCAUUUCGAGUAAUACAGUCGUUACAUAGCGAUACUAUCGAUAGUAUUGCUUCUGACUAUUGCAAAAACUAUCUAUAAUAUCGAUAGUAUUGUUUAUCACUAUUGCAAGAACUACCAAAACUAUCGAUACACAGCACUAACUAUCGAUCCUAUCGAUAGUCCUUGCAUAAGGCAAUUAUCGAUAGUAUCGAUAGUAUUGGUGUGUAACGAUAGUAUUGAUUUAAAUGAGCUAUCGGUAAUAUUGGUUAUUUUCAAGGUCUAUAAUCGAUAAUUCGGCAACAGGAUUAUUCGGUCCUCUCAGAUUGUGCGCGCGAGCAGCGUUCGAAAAAUAAUCCGAGAAAAAACUCAGUCCGGAUGUACUUGUAUAUUGAAAACUCAGCUUCAUUCGUGCCAUUCCUUUAAAAACUAAUAUCAUGAGUCUCCUGUCAUAUUGUGACAAUUUCAACCAAUAACAGAGCAUCAUAAUAUAUCACGACAUUGACAUGUGUCGUCCAAUCACAACACAGCAUUGGUUUGCCGUGAUGAUUGCAGCGCCGAUGAUAGUCAGACGUUCGCCGGUCCUCAGUAUAACAUGAGCUGCCCGGAAGAAAAGUAUAUUUAAACAGUAUUACGUGAUAAAUUCGUACGCGAGUUAUUUUAAAUUGAAUAACUAAGUAUUAUGAUUUCAUUUAGUGAACUGUAAACAAAAACUACUUACUUAUCUAUUUUGUUUUCUACUAAAGCACGUGCUAAGGGCAUUGCCUGAGAGUUAAGGAGCUAUGAUCCUUGCCCACUGUUGGACAUGAAUCCGAGAUAAAGGACGUGCCAAGGACAUCGCCUGCUAGCUGACGAGCUCUGACCCUCGCCUACUCAUGGAUAUGGAGCGUCGAUGUGGUAAAGGACGUGUCAAGGACAUUGCCUGCUAGCUGAGGAAUUAUGAAACUCGCCUACUGUUGGAUAAGAUCGGAGAUGUGAUGAAGACCACGUGCCAAGGACAUCGACUGCUAGCUUACGAGCUCUGACCCUUGCCUACUCUUGGAUAUGGAGCGGAGAAAUGAUAAAGCACUUGCCAAGGACAUCGACUGCUAGCUGACGAGCUCUACUCUACGAUAUGGAGCGGAGACGCGAUAAAGGUGUGGACAGCGUGUGGGUGCUAAUCGCUGCGGAACCGCGUUGGUGUGUGUCAGCUUACCACGCCGACCUCUACGAUGUACCGAACGCGUCUGCACUACACCCACCCGAGAACAGAACCUCACGGAUAAUAGCAAGAAGAAGACCGACCUCCUUCCCAUGCUUUUGUAGCGUGCCGAACAUUUGAAGCGUCCGUUGUUAAAUAAACGGUUGAUUAAAUUACUCCUUGCAUUUCUCGAA
rnacentral:lncRNA from 1 species